AGAGUUUGAUCAUGGCUCAGAGCGAACGCUGGCGGCGUGCUUAACACAUGCAAGUCGAACGCGCAGUUCUCUGUAGCAAUACAGGGGGCGGGCGCGUGGCGAACGGGUGCGUAACACGUGGAUAACCUUCCUUCAGGUGGGGAAUAACCCCGCGAAAGCGGGGCUAAUACCGCAUAACAUGACGAUAGCUCAUGCUGUUGUCUUCAAAGCCGCAAGGCGCCAGAAGAGGGAUCCGCGGCCGAUUAGCUAGUUGGUGAGGUAAUGGCUCACCAAGGCAUUGAUCGGUAGCCGGACUGAGAGGUUGGCCGGCCACACUGGAACUGAGACACGGUCCAGACUCCUACGGGAGGCAGCAGUGGGGAAUCUUGCGCAAUGGGCGAAAGCCUGACGCAGCAACGCCGCGUGGGGGAUGAAGCUUCUCGGAGUGUAAACCCCUUUCGACCCGGACGAAUGCCCGCAAGGGCUUGACGGUACGGGUAUAAGAAGCCCCGGCUAACUACGUGCCAGCAGCCGCAGUAAAACGUAGGGGGCCAGCGUUGCUCGGAAUUACUGGGCGUAAAGGGUCCGUAGGCGGUGUGGCAAGUCGGAAGUGAAAUCUCUGGGCUUAACUCAGAGGCUGCUUCCGAAACUGCUGUGCUAGAGUGCGAGAGAGGCGAGUGGAAUUGCGGGUGUAGCGGUGAAAUGCGUAGAUAUCCGCAGGAACAUCCGAGGCGAAAGCGGCUCGCUGGAUCGCAACUGACGCUGAGGGACGAAAGCUAGGGGAGCAAACAGGAUUAGAUACCCUGGUAGUCCUAGCCCUAAACCAUCAGACUUGGGGUUUGCCCUGUACGGGGCAAGUCCCGUAGCUAACGCGUUAAGUCCUGCGCCUGGGGAGUACGGUCGCA
rnacentral:rRNA from 1 species